ensembl:lncRNA
CAAAACAUGGUAAGCCGGCCAUAAUGUAUGGCAGACAGAAGCUGCUGAUCCUGCCCUAACGUUACCACCAAGAAGAAAGAUGGUUCAGACAAGACACAACGGUAAUAGAAGAGAGAAAAAGGGCAGAAGAGCAAAUGACAUCUUCAGAUGCACAAAAGCAGUAAGGACAAAAUGAAACCCAAUAUGGGCAAUAGCAGCAACAGAUGGAUCAUGUUGUGGGUGGUGUUUAAAUGUUGGAAAGCUGGAGUACUACUAUUCUAAGGAGCUCAGGAUUUCAACAGCAUUUCAGAAUGAUCUCAUGUCCACACAGCAGUUUUACUCAUCAUAGAAGAGCAUGGACCUCUGCAGAUCCUUGGAAAACCCAGAGAAAACAUCUUAGGCCCUUCUUCAUGGGAUUUCAGCAGGCUUUCUUGUUUCCACAGCCAGAAGGAUUAGACACAUCUUGUUUUGACAGUGAAAGCUAGAUUCUCAUGAAGUUGAAUUCUGUGACCUUUAUCACAGUCUGCAUGCCUAAAUCACACAAAGAUCUGAGCAGACUUUUUUGAGAUUCUGCUGAGCUAGCUAGGGUGGACCAGAUACAGAGAAAAAAUGUGUGUUUUUAAUAGGUACACAGAAAAGGUUUUAUUUUCCUGUUUGAUUGAUCAGUUGAUCUGUUGGUGAAGUUAGGACAAGGGGAGGGAAAGAAGACCCCCCUUUCAAGGAGUGCCCUUAUUUAACCCAUUUUGCUGCUUGAAGUGAAAGUCCGUGUGGCAUCACAACUCCACAGUUCCUUCUAGGUCCUUUUAGGACCAACACUGAAAAAUGCCUAGCAAUACAAUUCAAACAACUGUCUUCACCUCCCCGACAGUCAGCUCAAAACACUUUAUUGCCUGAGGCAAAGAAUGUAAAAGCACCCCGUCAUUCUUUGAACAGAAACAGAGAUGGUCUCUUGUCCAUCUCUUUCAUAAUGUCAGGUAUUGAGAAAAUAAUUCAUAAAGAGUGCUGGGUCACUUCAGAACUCUAGAUAGGGUUUUGCACUUGUUCUUUUUCGUUGGCAUGCUUGCUUUUUUUUUGCCUACCACUCCCAUCAGCAUAGCCAAUAGUGAGGGAUUCUGGAAGUUAGUUCAAAAAUAUCAAGAAGGCCACAGUUGCCAUUGUCUACAGCUAGAAGGUAGCACUGUAGGAAUAACCAGGAGGCAGGAAUGAAGCAGAAAGCAGGAGGAAGCCAGAAGCCACAAGGCUGGUGCUAAAUGAUCAUUAUAGCCCCAGUUAUCAUCUGCAGCAAUUGAACUGUUUGGAGGGGGGUUAGAACAAACAAAACAACUCUGUGUAUUCAUUUUUUUAAAAAAAAUUGCAAAACAAUUCUAAUAGNGCUCCCUCCCUCCCCCCCCCCCCCGCCCCUCUUUUCAAACAGAAUGCAGGAUUGGUUGAAUCUGGUUUUGAUGCACCAGCUUGAUACCUUGAUUGUAAAAAGAACAAUAGGCCAGGCAAACUCCUCACAGAUGAUUGCAGGACAGAGGAAGCUCCCCAAAUAACAAUUGGCCGAUAAAAUUAUGAAUGGGUAGCAACCUUCUGCCCUCAAUGGUGUCCCACUGCUCUUCCUUUGAAGGAGGCAAACAGGAGGGCUGGCGGAGCAAGAUUUUGUUCCUAUAGACACAAUCCAGACAAACAUCUUGCCUGGAUUAGUGCAGUCUCCCAUUGUCAGGAGGCGUUUCAGCUGCAAAGGUCCCGUGACAUUGUGGUAAUGUGGGAGACCUGACACCUAUAGGUUGGUCUUCAUUUACAUUUUGCUUUUAAUGACAAGCUGUCAGACCAGCUGCAGAAAGAAAACACCAUUGUUUCCUUAAUCUAGAGAAAGAAUAGGCGGAUUCUCCCAAGAAUAGAGAAUGCUUUGUGACUGUCCAAUCUCCGCUGUGCUCUCUCCCCUUGUGAUUUCUUGUGGCUCCUCCCUCAACCCAGCCUUCUUGCCCCUAGUAGUUGAGUGAAUACAUUACAGUUCCAGUUACUUAGGUCUGUGUCUGAGCCCACAAAAUGAACAAAUAUUAACAGCUAUCAAGACAGCUGCAGGAUCCCAGGCUGAGUAAGGUUGUGACUACUGCAGGAUUUGCUCCGGUUAUAAAAUGGAGGAGUUCUGUCAGAUUUUUACUUCUGAUUUUUUUUCAAGCCAGAAUGAUUCAAAUGGAUUUUCCCCCAUAUGAUCAGUUCUUUUAUUCUGUGGAUGAAUAAGGGAGCAUGUGGGUGCUGUUGUGAUGACGUAGGGGCAUAAAGUUUAGGGACCACAGAAACAGCCACCUCCGUUAUCUGUCUUCCAAGUAUCCCCAUUAAAAAAAUUGAAUAAGUGACUUCAGUGCUGAGUCAUUGUAUUAAUAUACUAGUUUAGCGCUAGAUCACCUGUGCAGGAAAAACAAAUUUAAAAAGUAAACCAUAAAAGGAUCAGCAGAGGUGGGAACAGAGGAGAGAGGGGGAAAGGGAAGAAAAGAGAAGGAAGAGGAAAGGAGAAGGUGUGGGCUGAACUGUGGAUUGUACAGAGUCCAGAGUGAGCACUGGCUCUAAAUCAGUCCAUGGCCCCUGUGUGAUCACUACUGGAAACAGUAGAUAGGUUGAUAAUUGAGCUGUAGCAAAGUUAAAUCACUCUGAUGUGGCAUGUCAGUGUACUUGCAGUCUAAGCUGCAAGGGAAACAUGUGGGGCAAAUGUUCCAGGGCCAGUCCUACCCUUAGGUAGAGUGAGCCUACUGCCUCAAGCAGCAGACACAGAGAAGCAGCAGCAAGACACUGGAGGAAAGAGUUACAUGCCAAAGGGUCUGUUGUGGGCCACCUAAGUGAGCCUACUGCUUUAGGAUGUUGUUCCAUCGUCUAUGUUGUAGAAAGAUUCAGCUGCCAGCCCAGUUGGCUUCAGGACAAAGAAUGGGGAGAAACGUCACCUUUUUCUUUGCUUCAAGUAGCAAAUGGCUGCAGUUGGCCCUGGGGUGGGGAGAAUCAAGGGAAAAAUAACUUUUGAAUGGCUAGUGAUAGCCUGCCAUUAGCAUCAUCGUAACCAAUGUUCACUCAACGGCUGGCAUCCAGUAUGUGCCCACAUACCACAAAGUUAUACAGCUAUAGCUUUCUCAAGAUGAUGCUCAGGCGACAAGGGUGUAUGAAGCGGUUGUGCAAUCAGUCUCAUGGUGUGCAUCAUGAUCAGCUGCAAAAUUCAUCCAUGCUUUGUGAAUAGCACUUCUGCCAUGUCACAAUUACUUGGGUGACGUUGAGUUGCAACAAGCAUAACUAUUCAGUAGGAUUUCAGCCAAUAUUUGGUUCAAUAUAGAGGUGGAAACUGACAGGCUACAAUUAAGACACUUCUAACUAUGUAGGCUCUUCCAAAGUAACAAAGGUGCACCAAAGUUAUAUUUCAACAAAACCACGAUGAAUAGUGUUGAGGAUGCUGUUUUUGUGUAAUGAAUAAAUUAGAAGUUACUUUAAAAGAAAGGAAUUAU